rnacentral:lncRNA from 12 species
UCAGCACUCAGGGUCCUCAUCUUCAAUUAAGGCCAAGACUCUGCCCUUGGCAGAACUGGGGCUUUCCUUUUCAGACCAAGGGCUUUUAUACUCCCUGAGAUCCCACAGGUGGAGUCAGUGCUAGCUCUUUGGAGGCCCCCUAGGGCUUGGAAUACGAUGGGGCUCUGUUUGAUACCCUCUGCUGGUAGGAUGAUCCCUACUGAACAAUCAGGGUCCUUAUUGUGACUCUUCUUAAGGUCUGCAAAUCUAGAGCUGUCCCCACCUAUGUGAGACACUCCAGCGAGACUGGGGGCAGGUGGGGGUUCUUCUACCUCACGACUCUGUCCUGGGCAGCCCAGAGCCAACAGCACUGGGGGAAAUUUGUCUGGAUCCUCCAUUCUAGGGUUCCUGACUCUUGGAUUAAAGGCUUUCUUGGAGAUGGUACAUCCUUACCGACACCUGAGCAGUUUACCCUCCGCAAACCUUGAUCCCUGUCCUAGGAGUGAUGUGAGAUGAGGAAGCUAAAGCACAAGGCAGGAGUCCCAGGAAGGUGAUGGGUUGUUAGGGGGGAAACGUGCUGAUAUUUUCCCUUUCUUCAUCAGCCAGACUGAGGCUCAUGUAAAUUCUUUUCUGAUAAAUUUAUACUGUAUGGGGAAGGAAUUGUCCAGGAUGAUUUUAUGAGUUCCUCAUAUUUCAAGGUUAUCUGACAUUUCAUGUGUAAAUGAUCAUAUUAUCACCAUGUAUUCUUUUCUUUAUUCAUGCCUCUCACUUAUUUUGGUAUUCAUACUGCUCUAGGAAUAUAUUCCAACCCAGUAGUAUGAGCACAGAGUCCUCCUUUUGAUUGCCUAAGAUACAUUUUUAAAGGAUUUUAUUUAUUUGAGAGAGAGAGAGAGAGAAUACAAGCAGAGGGAGAGGGAGAAGCAGGCUCUCCACUGAGCAGGGAGCCCAAUGCAGGCCUGAUCCUAGGACUCUGGGACCAUGACCUGAGCCAAAGGCAGACAGUUAAUGACUGAGCCACCCAGGCACCCCAAUACAUUCUUUAGAAGGGUGAAAUUGAAUUAAGAGACU